GAGGUUUUACUUAAAGAAAUGGUGCAGAGUGAGUCAGAAAAUGAAGCAGAUGUUUCCUGGGGGGACAUUAUGGAGAAAAUACAAAAGUAGUAUGCAGAGACAAUC